UCACACUGUUGUGCAACCAUCACCACCAUCCAUCUCCAGAACUUUUUUGAUCUUCAUCAACUGAAACUGUCCCCAUCAAACACUAAGUCUCCACCUUCCUCCCCCAGCUCCUGACACCUACUAUUCCACGUUCUGUCUCUAUGAAUCUAACUACUCUAGGCACCUCGUAGGAGUGAAAUCAUACAGAAUUUGUCCUUCUGUGUUCAUUUGUGUAUUUUGCACCCAUACACUAAGCGUUGCCAAAAAAGUGCUGGGUUUUCUUCCAUCCUGGAUGGGUGUAUGUGUGUGUGUGUCCUUGGAUAUCUAAUUCUCAUACUUCCAACGUGUUCAAAUGAGUUAAGUUUUAAACCUGGCAUCUGGGAAUGAGGCGGAUCUGAUGGGUCCUGGAAUUCAAUUUUAGAUCGUGGAUGAAGCCAGACCCUGUGAACCAGAAGGAAGAACAUGGUGGCCCUGCAUAUCCUGGUGGGAGAGGGGAAAGUGGUUUUAGUGAAUAGUUGCAGGCACAGAGUCCUUGCUUUCCUGCAAAGCUGUGUAUUUUAUUCGAGCUCGUUCUGAGCCAUAAGUGCUGCAGGAUAUACAUGUACUGAUAUCUAAGCUUAUGUUAUUGGGGGUUUCCUAGAUGAUUUUUUUUUCAUGACAAAAUUUGCUUUUCCUGGGGGAAAUGUGGCAGAGUGAAGAGGUGGGUUGGAAGGGAGAAGCUUCUGGAAGUUCUCACCCAUCCUGUGACUGUCCUGGGCGUUCACUUUACAAUCUUAGGGGAGAAGUACUGAGGCAUUCUGUGGAAUGAUCAAGCCCAUGGUUGUCAAGAGAUAUGUAUUCCUCUUUUUUCAUGUUCUCUAACGCAGAAGGAUGCUCUCAGAAUAUCAGUGGAACUACGUCCAUUUCUUUGCUCAGGAAUUCAGAUCCAAUUGUUACUUUGAAUCUUUCAGUGUUUCCAUUUGUGUUUUGGGCGAGGUGACUUUAACUGGAAGCAAGGCUGAUGAUCCACUUGGUAGGCGUUAGGAGAGCCACUCCAGAGUUUAAAACAUUGAAAUUCCCCUGCAGCAUCAGGUAAAGAACCUCUGCCCCAAGCUCCGCUCUGCAUGCCACAACCCUGCCCUGUGAUCCCCAGUGUCCUCAUGGUCCAUAAUGGCAAUGCCCAACCUAGGACAUUGUCCAACCUGGUAAGACCAGCGUCCAUCUCUUAGGGCUGUACCUGUACCUGGUGGUGAUUAUUUGGAAUAGCAUCCCAAGUAGGAAUAGAUAUCGUCACCUUGUUCUAGUUGAGAGUCUCGGAUCUCGGUUCUAAUUCUAUGAGUCAUGGUUACUGGCAUGUUUGUCUUUGAGAAGAUCCUAUCAAGUAAGAUGAGUGACACAUGAAGUGCUGUAGAAUCACCCAAAGUAAGAGAAGGAGCCAAAGUCCCUUAGAAGCAAAAAUAUAUUGUCUCCUUUAUUGAAAAUGGUUCCAGAAUUGUUCUAGCAUCCUUAAGUCAAGCCCUGAGAAUGUGGUUUGAGGUAAAGAUAGGCUCUUCCAAUAUUAUUCAUGGGAACAGAGUGAAGCUUUAGGUUUCUCUGAGUGAGCUGGUUUACUGAAGACUACGGAUCUGAAAACAAAAGCCCCUUCAAGGAGGUCCAUCCCAUACACCAGAAAGGCACUCAAGCACCAAAAACAACCCCAAAAACAAAAAGAAAAAAACCCCAAAACCCCAAAGUAUUAUUUCCCAUGACACAUGAAAGGACCUUAUUUUGGGAAAAAGGAAGACUCUCGUCAAACUAUCAUCUGCCUUGAAAUACUCUUUGAGAUUCUUAACUUGAACUGAUUUAUUUUAGACUUAUUAUAUGCUAGUUUGUAAAUAAGCUGCAAAAAUCUGCAGGACAUUAAUUGUGAUCCUGCUGCUGCUGAUGUUGCUGUUGCUGCUGAUGCUAAUGGUGGUGAUGAUGAUGAUGAUGCUGCUGCUGAUGAUGAUAAUGAUGAUGGUGGUGACGACAAUGAUGAUGCUGAUGAUAUUGCUGCUGCUCCUGAUGCUGCAAGAUGCUUUUCUGCUCGGUGCAAAGAUCCCAAUCUCAGGUGUAGCUGCUGUAGCUGUGGGACCUGUGUGUGCUGACAGCAUCCUUUGCACUUGCCUAAGGCACCAUCUGGCUGCUGUGUGAGGGAAGAACACUGCUUGGUUCGCUGCUUUUGUGCUUAUGAUUCUUUGAGUUUUCUUUAUACUCAUAAAAACGCUUCCUCAUUCCAUCUCAAACACUGGAGUCAUUCUCCGUUUUUUCUGAGAAAACAGUAAGGGUUUUCAUUAAGAAAUAAGUCAUAAGACUGCAGGAAAACAAAUAAAACUCUUAAUCAGCUGCUCUCUCAGCAGCCUGGGGAUUGCAUGUGACAACACUCACUGGCUUCCCCACGCCGCAGACCCCCUUGCUUGGUAAACACGUUAUAACCAGGGAGGCAUCAUUAACCUACAAGCAACCGGUUCCCAAGUAGAAGAAUCCAAUUUUUCUUUUUUUAAUGAGAGAAGGGUCUGCCCACUUGAGGAAAUGGAAUUUUAUUCAGAGUUAGUUUUGCAGAAUCAAUUGGGUGUUGCUGUGCAUUAUUCACACCAUCUUCCCUGUUCUUCAGAGAACUCGAAGUCAUUAACCCGCAGACUAUAUGCAAUGAAAGCUGUUAUGGUGGUCAACAUACUUAGGGUUUAAUGGAGUAAGUCAAUUUCAGGGCUUUCUCUCCCCAAAUAUUGUAGGAUAGUGUGAUGUGUUAUACAAGCUUCCUGUCAAUGUCAUCACCAAAGAAUGACCCAUGCACGUGGGGCUUUAGAGCAGCAUGUAGUUAGGAAAGUAAAUUCUUAUAUUCCCACUCUGACCCAGAACACUUCACCCAGCUCCUCCUGUGUCCCCCACAAUGAAGGGCAGUGCUGACAUUAUGUUUUGUUUUGAAGGAACACCGCUGCUUAUCUUGGAAGCACAGUGGAUGGAUCCAAGUGUGGGGCCAGGAUGUCUCUUCAUGCUGCCUCAGAAGUUUUGGAUUCUCUCUCUGAUUAGGCUUGUGAGAAUCUCAUGAGCAGAUGCCACAUCUAGUCAACCCAUUUAUGUUUGGUGACAGGAUAGGAGCUCAGGUUAUAUACGACCAUGAGAAUCAUGUCUGUUGGGGCUUCAAAAACUAAAUCAACCCAAAUAUAUAACAAAAGAAGCAUGAGAGAAGUGUGAAAAUCAAGAAUGGAGUUUUCAUUUUCUGAAUUCAAGAUUCCUCUAUUUUCAGAAGAUCAAAUGAGGAACUGUCACCUUGCAGGGAACAGCUGUUUUCUGUGGCAGAUGGGAAGAAGGGAUGUGGCCAAUGACAAUUAUCCCUUAAAGCUGCCCCGGAAUUGACACGUCUCUUUGCUCCUACCUCUUUGAAUGAACUAGUCUCAUGCCCAUGCUGACUCCAAGGGGCCAAGAGAUGCAAUCCAACCAUCUGACUGGGACGAACCAGAAAUGGUUUCUACAAGAAGAGGUGAUCAACUGAGAAAGAGAAUCAAUUACGGCGUCUCUCUCUAGUGAUGGAGACCCGACGUAGAGAACGGAAUGGUGUUGGUGUGGAGCCAGAAAGGCGUCUUCUGAAGUGCAGUUGGGGCUGAAAUGGUUACCUGUCCACCGUGACUCUUCCAUGUCUAUCCAUGCUCCUCAUCUGUUGGGUUGAGUCACUGUGGAGAAAUGGCUAAGGCACUAGCAUCUAUGUGAGCCAGACUCUCACCUCUAACCUGGGCAUCGAGAUGGGACCAUGGGAAUGAAGGCUUGCCAACGAAGUGCACAUCGAAUUCUCACAUUUCUCUUCUGGGCCAGGUGGCAAGAUAAGAGCGUGACUUCUGUUUUUGACUGAGUUGUGUUCCCCCAAAAUCCAUAUUGUUGGAGUCCUAACCCCAGGACCUCAGAAUUUGACUGUAUUUGGAGAUGGUGUUUUUGAAGAGGUGAUUAAAGUAAAAUGAGGUCAUCAGGGCCUGAUCCAACAGCACUGGGGUCCUUAUGAGAAGUGGAGAUGAGGACACAGACACGCACAGAGGGACGACCACGUGAGGACACAGGGAGAAGACAGUGUCCACACGCCACGGAGAGCGGCCUCAGGAAAAACCAGCCCUGUCCUCACCUGGAUCUCAGACGUCAAGCCUCCGGGACGGUAAGACAUAAAUAUCUGUGGUUCUUGGUUAUGGCAGCCCUAGCAGGCUAAUGCACUUUCUCCAUCCUCUCUCCUCUGAUUAAAUAUCCACAUCCUGGUGAACUUGGAGGCAAGGGUUACAAAUGUCAUAGCCACAAAAUGGAAGGAUGCAGGGUCCCUGAACCAGCUCUUGAGGAGCGUGACCAGCCAACCGGAAACAGCCAUUUUGGAUUUAACAACAGCUAUUUGUUAGCAUCACUGAGAUUUUGGAUUCAUUCGUUAAAGCAGCUCAGCAUUACCCUAACAGAGUGUGUUCUCCAUGCACACAGCGCUCUGCUUUGGUCAAGUGAAGCAAGAUCUGGUGACCACGCGUGGCACACCUUUGCCAUACAUUUCCUGUCAAAACACUUUUUCCCUGUGUCCUGUGAGGGUCGUCUUCUCUGCAGGAUGACUACGUCCAGCUGUGGUGCUCGGGACCUUGGUGUUUCUGUCUGAUUAACGAGGGUUCCCGUUAAGCUGGAGUUCAGCUGUCUUCACUGCUAGACUUGCUUUGUGAGACUCUCUGAGGUUGUUAAUAAGGUAAGAUCUUUGGGUCUCAAGACAAAGAGAGAAGAUAAUUUAUUUUCUACAGAGUUUUAUUUCCUUAAGCUCUAUCUUCCAUUACAUUGUAGAGGGCGUUUCAGUAAAUGAUGUAUGAAAUUAAAAAAAAAUCUGUAUGAUUUCACAGCAAAGGGCAUGCAUAUCUAGAGAACAACUCUGAAAUGAUGUAGAAAAAUAGAUAUCUAUUUUUCUUUCUAAAAAUUAAAGGCUUAUGCUUUGGAUAAAUUUAUGUUAAUUUGCCAAACAAGAUGUGGUUAUUAUGUGCGAGGCAUUGUAUAGAUUCUCUGGUAAAUAAAGCAUGGAUUUAUUCUUAA